rnacentral:rRNA from 1 species
AGGGUUCGAUUCUGGCUCAGGAUGAACGCUAGCUACAGGCUUAACACAUGCAAGGUCAGGGGGUAGCAGGGUAGCAAUACCGCUGACGACCGGCGCACGGUGAGUAACACGUAUCCAACCUCCCAUAACUCAGGGAUAGCCUUUCGAAAGAAAGAUUAAUACCUGAUAGUACUUUUUCAAGGCAUCUUGAGAAAGUUAAAGAUUUAUUGGUUAUGGAUGGGGAUGCGUUCCAUUAGAUAGUUGGUGAGGUAACGGCUCACCAAGUCUUCGAUGGAUAGGGGUUCUGAGAGGAAGGUCCCCCACAUUGGUACUGAGACACGGACCAAACUCCUACGGGAGGCAGCAGUGAGGAAUAUUGGUCAAUGGGCGAGAGCCUGAACCAGCCAAGUAGCGUGAAGGAAUGAAGGUCCUAUGGAUUGUAAACUUCUUUUAUAGUAGAAUAAAGUGAUCCACGUGUGGAUUUUUGUAUGUAUACUAUGAAUAAGGAUCGGCUAACUCCGUGCCAGCCGCCGC